rnacentral:misc_RNA from 1 species
AACGCACAUUGCGCCCUUUGGCAUUCCGAAGGGCAUGCCUGUUCGAGCGUCAUUGCACCCCUCCAGCACUGCUUGGUAUUGGGCUUCGCCCCUGGGGCGGGCCUGGAAGUCAGUGGCGGUCCAGCGAGACUUCAAGCGUAGCAAGAUUUCUCGAUCCCGCUUUGGAAGGUUCCUGCUGCGUGCCGGCCAGAUUCCCACAAUUUCUUUCAAUGGUUGACCUCGGAUCAGGUAGGGAUACCCGCUGAACUUAA